rnacentral:rRNA from 1 species
AGAGUUUGAUCCUGGCUCAGGAUGAACGCUAGCGACAGGCUUAACACAUGCAAGUCGAGGGGCAGCGGGGGUAGCAAUACCCGCCGGCGACCGGCGCACGGGUGAGUAACGCGUAUGCAACUUACCUAUCAGAGGGGGAUAACCCGGCGAAAGUCGGACUAAUACCGCAUGAAGCAGGGGCCCCGCAUGGGGAUAUUUGCUAAAGAUUCAUCGCUGAUAGAUAGGCAUGCGUUCCAUUAGGCAGUUGGCGGGGUAACGGCCCACCAAACCGACGAUGGAUAGGGGUUCUGAGAGGAAGGUCCCCCACAUUGGUACUGAGACACGGACCAAACUCCUACGGGAGGCAGCAGUGAGGAAUAUUGGUCAAUGGGCGUAAGCCUGAACCAGCCAAGUCGCGUGAGGGAUGAAGGUUCUAUGGAUCGUAAACCUCUUUUAUAAGGGAAUAAAGUGCGGGACGUGUCCCGUUUUGUAUGUACCUUAUGAAUAAGGAUCGGCUAACUCCGUGCCAGCAGCCGCGGUAAUACGGAGGAUCCGAGCGUUAUCCGGAUUUAUUGGGUUUAAAGGGUGCGUAGGCGGCCUUUUAAGUCAGCGGUGAAAGUCUGUGGCUCAACCAUAGAAUUGCCGUUGAAACUGGGGGGCUUGAGUAUGUUUGAGGCAGGCGGAAUGCGUGGUGUAGCGGUGAAAUGCUUAGAUAUCACGCAGAACCCCGAUUGCGAAGGCAGCCUGCCAAGCCAUGACUGACGCUGAUGCACGAAAGCGUGGGGAUCAAACAGGAUUAGAUACCCUGGUAGUCCACGCAGUAAACGAUGAUCACUAGCUGUUUGCGAUACACAGUAAGCGGCACAGCGAAAGCGUUAAGUGAUCCACCUGGGGAGUACGCCGGCAACGGUGAAACUCAAAGGAAUUGACGGGGGCCCGCACAAGCGGAGGAACAUGUGGUUUAAUUCGAUGAUACGCGAGGAACCUUACCCGGGUUUGAACGCAUUCGGACCGAGGUGGAAACACCUUUUCUAGCAAUAGCCGUUUGCGAGGUGCUGCAUGGUUGUCGUCAGCUCGUGCCGUGAGGUGUCGGCUUAAGUGCCAUAACGAGCGCAACCCUUGCCACUAGUUACUAACAGGUAAAGCUGAGGACUCUGGUGGGACUGCCAGCGUAAGCUGCGAGGAAGGCGGGGAUGACGUCAAAUCAGCACGGCCCUUACAUCCGGGGCGACACACGUGUUACAAUGGCGUGGACAAAGGGAAGCCACCUGGCGACAGGGAGCGAAUCCCCAAACCACGUCUCAGUUCGGAUCGGAGUCUGCAACCCGACUCCGUGAAGCUGGAUUCGCUAGUAAUCGCGCAUCAGCCAUGGCGCGGUGAAUACGUUCCCGGGCCUUGUACACACCGCCCGUCAAGCCAUGGGAGCCGGGGGUACCUGAAGUCCGUAACCGCAAGGAUCGGCCUAGGGUAAAACUGGUGACUGGGGCUAAGUCGUAACAAGGUAGCCGUACCGGAAGGUGCGGCUG